rfam:Asian citrus Psyllid, Diaphorina citri - Florida Strain, whole genome shotgun sequence.
GCCUAGUUAGCUUGGAGGGUAGUGCGUCUGCUUUGCGAAUACUAGGCCGCGGGUUCGAUUCCCGCCCGAGGCG